GAGAAAGAUUUAAAAGGACAUUGCCAGCAAAGUUUUUAUGUUCCAGUUUUCAAACAAAGGUAAAAAUGAUGUUCCGAAUUCCUUUAAAAGUAUGUAAAAACGGUGUUAUCUAAGAAGAGAUGACGAAAAUCAUUGACAGUACUGAAACUUAGAGAGGAUACCUUCAGUUUCCUGGGAAUUCACGUGUGCAAAUGGCUCAUUCUUAUGCGGGGAGAUAACUAAGUUACUGUACUGUCUUACUUUGGCCCUCAUUAUUUCCUAUAUUUAUUAUUAUCUCCUACGCUCUCUGAACUAUGGAACCAAAGAUUUACUUGUGUUCGGUCCACUCCUAGGCUACUCACAGAAGUAGAUAACACAAAAACUUACAGCAAAAGAAAAUAGAAAUGGAGCCAGGAAAACCUGAGAUCAAAUUCCAGGACUGAAUAAUAUCAACUUAAUUUAAAGCCCUUACAAACUUGUUGGUAGCGACCCAUAGCUCCACGUCAACCCACCAUGCUUUUAUCAAUAUCAAGUAUUUGAUGUUUGUUUUUCAGGCUGGAUCAAACUGAAGGGAAGACUGGGGACCAAAAGAAGAUAAAACAUGGUCUCAGAACUUGAUCAUGUAGCAUACACAAGCUGCUACCACAAUUCAGAGGUUCAUUUGACAACCAGUUGUUAGAAGUCUUUUCUUCUCACAGAGUUGUUAUGUAGCAAUUAGAUGGCUUCCUGGUACCUAAUAAUUAGUCAACAGAUGUUUGGAUGCUGGAAGUUCAGGUUAAAUGUGAAGCAACAUGCUGAGAUCCCCACCUUGCAGACUCUCCCAGAGACUGCUCCCUGGUGUCUCCUCCAUGCGCCCACAUCUUCUCCAUGGUAAGUGUCAUUUCUCCUAGAACUGUGGAGGAACUCAUUCAGAUGUCUGAUUUGUCUGUGAUGAGUAUUUUAUCAGUUGCUUCCUACCAAUGCAAAGUGCUACAUACUUGUCAUAAUAUUCAAGUUUCUUGAGAUGAUACUUUGUGCUAAGAGACAACAUCACCCUCUUUUUACUGAUCAUCAGCCUCAGGUCACACAACUAGAAAUCACGGAAUGGAAAUGCAAACAAAACAUCUUUCUUUCACAGCUUCAAAGGCUUAUACUGAAAGGACAGCAGAAACAAGGCAACCUAACUUUUACAAGACUAUCAGGACUUGGGUCCAAGCAAGACUCUUACGAUUUAGACCACGCCUUUAAGAGCAGAUAUCACACAAAAUGAGCACCACAAGUGUAUACCAGAGUGUAAAAAAGAGUGUUUUGAACGCACCAAAUCUCUAAGGUAUACGAGAACAUAGUGGAGGAGUUCAACACCUCAUCCGUAGCUUUAACCAUAUUAAUAGAUGUUCAAGGAUGGUAAAGCUAAUGCUUACUACAUCGUAGGAAAGUCACAUGAGCACUGCUGAACAAAUCACAGUACAACUAUAAUUAAUUCCCUUGUGAAAAUAAAGGUGACAGAAACUAAAGUCAGGAGCUGUUUAGGAAAAGGUUUGAUGAAGAAUCUGAACCUUUGAUUAGAAUGGUUUUGAUCCUUGGUUUUUAUUUCUUCCCUGCUUUUACUUUCUUCUUACCCACUAACAUGAAUCACUAAUGUCUCCUUCCAGUUCUUAAACAAAAUUACCCAUUCAUAACUAUGUACCAAAUAAAUGGUUCAUUAUUAAAAAGCAAUUGGAACAAAAAUCACUCACAUAUUAACUGUGAACAAUGGUCAUCAUUUGAAUUACAUGAAAAGGAUUUUUUUCCUAAGAACAUGCUUUGUGAUAAGAUUGUUGUUUUCUAAAAAAAAAAAAAAA